rnacentral:lncRNA from 1 species
CAGCCCAGAACAGAAGGCCCAGCAUUCCCGCACUGCAGCUAAGCAUGGCUGCGCGCCAACCAGCUGCAAUAACAGCCGCGUCCCAGCGGGGCCCCUUCCCUGGCCCCGGAGCAACCCCUGCCUGCCUGAUGCUCCUUUCAGAGGAUCGGAGGGUCUGCCCUGAGCCUUUCUGGGCCUGCCUCAGGCUUGUUUUUCUAAAAACCCAAAUAGGAUGGGCCCAGGAGCAAUAAAGGCAAAGUCCCAUUUUAAUGCCUGCAAUUUCUUUCAGGUUUUUUUUUUUUUUUUGUAAAUUUUUGUUUUUAGUGUAAUCCAUUUGUCAAAUGGAAAAGUACAUUUUAAAGGCACCAGAAGACUAGAUGUGUCCUGCUUCGGUUGGAUCUUUCUCCACCGAGACGGAAGCAGGAGUGAGAGGAGAGCAGAAACACCAACCAUUGAGGUUGAGACCAUUUCCAGAGGAAGAAGCAUGGGGCCAUCAUUUAUUAAAAUUUAUGAAAUGUUUUGCGUAUACUUUUCUUGUAUAAUUCCUACCACUCUGUAAAGUAUUAUAUUUGUUUUAUAGAUGAGUACUGGGACCAGAAAAGGUUCAAUAUCUUACCAUGAUCACCUGGCUAGGAAAUAGCAGGUCAGGGAGUCAAACCAGGCCUCCUCCUUCCUUUACCACUCUGUUAGAGGAGGUAAAGGGGAUUAUCCCCACAUUUAGAGUGGACACAAACAUGCCACAGCCACAUACCUAAUGGUGAACCUCAUAGUGACUUCUG